AGCCACGCAGUGAGCACAAAGCGAACUAUUCUUUCGCCUUUUACUAAAGAAUACCGUGUGUGCGCUGCAAUUAGUGGCAUACGCCAAUUUUUGAGGGGUUUCCUCUUUUGAGGAGGACC
rfam:Capsicum annuum cultivar Zunla-1 chromosome 8, whole genome shotgun sequence